rnacentral:rRNA from 1 species
CGGGGUGCACCAGGCGCGAAAACUCUACAAUGCAGGCAACUGCGAUAGGGGAACAUCGAGUGAUCCUCAUAUUGGGGGUCUGUCCACCCGUCUAAAAAACGGGUGUUAGCAAGGGCCGGGCAAGACCGGUGCCAGCCGCCGCGGUAAUACCGGCGGCUCGAGUGGUGGCCGAUAUUAUUGAGUCUAAAGGGUCCGUAGCCGGCUUUGCAAGUCUCUCGGGAAAUCCAGCGGCUUAACCGUUGGUCGUCCGGGGGGUACUACAUUGCUUGGGACUGGGAGAGGUAGGAGGUACUCAGGGGGUAGGAGUGAAAUCCUGUAAUCCUUUGGGGACCACCGGUGGCGAAGGCGUCCUACCAGAACAGGUCCGACGGUGAGGGACGAAAGCUAGGGGCACGAACCGGAUUAGAUACCCGGGUAGUCCUAGCCGUAAACGAUGCUCGCUAGGUGUCACAACAGUCGUGAACUGUUGUGGUGCCGUAGGGAAGCCGUGAAGCGAGCCACUUGGGAAGUACGACCGCAAGGUUGAAACUUAAAGGAAUUGGCGGGGGAGCACAAGGGCGAAUGCGG